rnacentral:lncRNA from 1 species
CAACUAUCUUUGAGGCAAUCUCGAAGGGAUUCGUAGAAUAACAUUACAAAAAAAGGAAGAUAAGAGUUAUUAUACCAUGACGUGAGGGGCAAUCCUGACACAGUAAACAGGGAAACCUGAGUAAAAUUUCAGAGGCCCCCCUUCUUUUAAGGUUUUCAUCGCACAAUCAAGUGAACCUGUGUAUGGAUAUUUUCCCUGAGCAUCCGGUUGCAUUUUCUGAAUCUGAGUUUUGACAAAGUCAAAUGGC